UGUUCCUCCAUGCGACCCAUGUUCACGAUAAUUUGUCUGGUUUUGAGAACUAAAAUGAGGGUUACAGUGUCGUCUUCCUCGUCUGCGGCUACCCUUGGAUGAAGGAUGGAAAUUUUGUGCGGCUUCCAUGGUGGUAGGAAUGGCUUCGAUGGCGGACGAUUUUGCUAUGGUGAAUUCUUCAGAGAUGAGAAGGGUGUGAAGUUCUUCAAGGGAGAUGGUACCACUUCGAGUUUGGAUUGACGUGCGAAAGGUGUUGAAGGUUGCAAGAAGUCCAUUUAAGAUGGAGUUUUCUUUAUGGUGUAAAGGGCAGAUCGAAGAUCAAGAAUAUUGGAUCUGGUGUUGCAGGAGUACCUCUUUUCUAGAGAGAACCACAAUGCUUUUGAUGAGGUUGUGCCGACUACAUGAGCAAGAGCCGAAGGGGAUAAGGUUGCGUUGAUGAGGGUGAUAAAAGCUUGGUCACAAAAGAGCCAACGAAGAUGCUCAAGAUUUAUUUCAAGGAUGGUUCCAGCAGAUGUUGAAGGUAAAAAUUUGGGAGGGCAGGGAAGAGAAUUGUCAAUGUGACUGUUCACAAGAGAUUUUCGGAGAAAUUUAAUUUGUGGACUUGAACUUGAGUGUUCAUGUUGUAUCUUUGUUGAUUUGAUGCGAUGGGUUCAAUCUCUA